GCUCCAUGAGACCACAAAGCACACGCAGCACAGGAGGCAAUCAACCAACCGCGUCGUCGACGGACACCAACCAAUCUAUGGCGGAAAAGGAGGCGCCCCUCCCGCCCGCCUGCGUCGCCUCGUCCGAGGCGGAGACGAUGCGGCCGCGACCCGUAUCGGAUUAGACGGAUAUGGGUUGGCGAGGAAGGAAGGAAGGCGUCCCCUCCCCUCCUCUCCUCUCCUCGCUGUCAUCGUCUCCCCUCCCCC
rnacentral:lncRNA from 1 species